rfam:Physcomitrella patens subsp. patens PHYPAscaffold_390 genomic scaffold, whole genome shotgun sequence.
CGCCAGGUGCUCAGCACUAAUCGAACAAAACUUUCACCUUUUACUAAAGAAUUUCGCGGGCUAAGAGAAAACACUAGCGUUAUUCAAUUUUUGGAUUGCUCUUCAAGGAGUCC